rnacentral:rRNA from 1 species
UGGGGAAUUUUGCGCAAUGGGGGAAACCCUGACGCAGCAACGCCGCGUGAGUGAUGAAGGCUUUCGGGUCGUAAAGCUCUGUCAGUAGGGAAGAAGUGUAAUGGUGCUAAUACCACCUUUACUUGACGGUACCUACAAAGGAAGCACCGGCUAACUCCGUGCCAGCAGCCGCGGUAAUACGGAGGGUGCAAGCGUUGUUCGGAUUUAUUGGGCGUAAAGCGCCCGUGUAGGCGGUUUCUUAAGUCUGAUGUGAAAGCCCUGGGCUCAACCCAGGAAGUGCAUUGGAUACUGGGAAACUUGAAUACGGGAGAGGGUAGUGGAAUUCCUAGUGUAGGAGUGAAAUCCGUGGAUAUUAGGAGGAACACCGGUGGCGAAGGCGGCUACCUGGACCGAUAUUGACGCUGAGACGCGAAAGCGUGGGGAGCAAACAGGAUUAGAUACCCUGGUAGUCCACGCCGUAAACGAUGAGAACUAGGUGUUGCGGGUAUUGACCCCUGCAGUGCCGCAGCUAACG